rnacentral:SRP_RNA from 1 species
GGCCGGGCCCUGCGCAAUAGGAAUCUGUGAACCUGGUCAGGUCCGGAAGGAAGCAGCCAUAAGCGGAACCUCCUAUGUGCCGCAGGUAAGUCUGGCCGGU